rnacentral:rRNA from 1 species
UAUGUGAUCGUCUCUCGCAUAUCAAUAAGCGGAGGAAAAGAAACUAACAAGGAUUCCCCUAGUAACGGCGAGUGAAGCGGGAAGAGCUCAAAUUUGAAAUCUUAAAGGGUUCCCCUUUACGAAUUGUAGUUUAAAGAAGUGUUUUCUGUUGAGGUUUUGGUAAAAGUUCUUUGGAAUAGGACAUCAUAGAGGGUGAGAAUCCCGUAUUUGACCUUUACUUUCAACUUUGUGAUACACUUUCAAAGAGUCGGAUUGUUUGGGAAUGCAGUCCAAAAUGGGUGGUAAAUUUCAUCUAAAGCUAAAUAUUGGCGAGAGACCGAUAGCGAACAAGUACCGUGAGGGAAAGAUGAAAAGAACUUUGAAAAGAGAGUUAAACAGUACGUGAAAUUGUCAAAAGGGAAGCGUUUGACACCAGUGUUGUUUUUCUGAAAAUCAAUUAAAGAACUGUUUAUGCUAAGCUGUUUAGACUUUAUCAGCUAUCUGUUUAGUUUUGAGCUUUUCUUUAAUGCACUUUUCAGUUAACAAGUCAACAUCAAUUUCUUUUGCUGUAAAAAAGCUUGAGGAAGGUGGCUUGAGAUUCGUCUUAAGUGUUUAUAGCCUCUUGCCUAUGCAGUCGGAGAGAUUGAGGUCAUGCAGCGUAGAUCCUUCGGGGCUAAAUGCAUUUGUGCUAAGUUAUAGCAUUUUAUAGACAACUUGUUGACUAUGAUUUGUCUUGUAGCUUACUCGCUUAUGUUAUUUUACCUACGCUUAGGAUGUUGAUCUACAGAGCGAGAGU